rnacentral:rRNA from 1 species
AUGCCCCACACCCGUCAUAGGUGGUGCAGAUGGCAUGUGUUAAAGGUCUUGAAAGAGAAAAUUGGACCCGUGUACAACAAACAUUCUGCCUUCAAGAAGGAAUUCCACGCGAUAGUAAAUGAAGAGAUAGAUGUAGAAUCAUUUGAGCGAAAGUGGCAUCAAUUGAUUAAAAAAUACAAACUUCAAGGAAACAAGUACCUUCGCAGGAUUUUCAAGUGGAGGGACAUGUGGGCAAUGCCAUACUUCAUGGGCACAUUCUGUGCCGGGAUGACCAGCACGCAACGGAGCGAGAGUGCGAAUCAUCUCCUCAAAAAGUUCAUCAGCAGAUCACCCCCAAUGCACUUGUUUGUUAAGCAGUACAACAAAUUGCUUGAUUCCAGGAGCUAG